rnacentral:rRNA from 1 species
CCUACGGGUGGCAGCAGUGGGGGAUAUUGCACAAUGGGGGGAACCCUGAUCCAGCGACGCCGCGUGAGUGAAGAAGUGUUUCGGUGCGUAAAGCUCUGUCAGCAGGGAAGAAAAUGACGGUACCUGACUAAGAAGCCCCGGCUAACUACGUGCCAGCAGCCGCGGUAAUACGUAGGGGGCAAGCGUUAUCCGGAUUUACUGGGUGUAAAGGGGGCGUAGACGGCGAAGCAAGCCUGAAGUGAAAGCCCGGGGCCCAACCCCGGGACUGCAGUGGAAACUGUGUGACUGGAGUGCAGGAGAGGCAAGCGGAAUUCCUAGUGUAGCGGUGAAAUGCGUAGAUAUUAGGAGGAACACCAGUGGCGAAGGCGGCCUACUGGACUGUAACUGACGUUGAGGCUCGAAAGCGUGGGGAGCAAACAGGAUUAGAUACCCGUGUAGUC